AGUAAUGCUUAGGAAUCUGCCUAUUAGUGGGGGACAACMUUUCGAAAGGAAUGCUAAUACCGCAUACGUCCUACGGGAGAAAGCAGGGGAUCUUCGGACCUUGCGCUAAUAGAUGAGCCUAAGUCGGAUUAGCUAGUUGGUGGGGUAAAGGCCUACCAAGGCGACGAUCUGUAGCGGGUCUGAGAGGAUGAUCCGCCACACUGGGACUGAGACACGGCCCAGACUCCUACGGGAGGCAGCAGUGGGGAAUAUUGGACAAUGGGCGCAAGCCUGAUCCAGCCAUGCCGCGUGUGUGAAGAAGGCCUUAUGGUUGUAAAGCACUUUAAGCGAGGAGGAGGCUACUUUAGUUAAUACCUAGAGAUAGUGGACGUUACUCGCAGAAUAAGCACCGGCUAACUCUGUGCCAGCAGCCGCGGUAAUACAGAGGGUGCAAGCGUUAAUCGGAUUUACUGGGCGUAAAGCGCGCGUAGGCGGCUAAUUAAGUCAAAUGUGAAAUCCCCGAGCUUAACUUGGGAAUUGCAUUCGAUACUGGUUAGCUAGAGUGUGGGAGAGGAUGGUAGAAUUCCAGGUGUAGCGGUGAAAUGCGUAGAGAUCUGGAGGAAUACCGAUGGCGAAGGCAGCCAUCUGGCCUAACACUGACGCUGAGGUGCGAAAGCAUGGGGAGCAAACAGGAUUAGAUACCCUGGUAGUCCAUGCCGUAAACGAUGUCUACUAGCCGUUGGGGCCUUUGAGGCUUUAGUGGCGCAGCUAACGCGAUAAGUAGACCGCCUGGGGAGUACGGUCGCAAGACUAAAACUCAAAUGAAUUGACGGGGGCCCGCACAAGCGGUGGAGCAUGUGG
rnacentral:rRNA from 1 species